AGACGUUGGACACGUAUAAGGCCUCGUGCGAGCCACCGCAUCAGUUUUGCAGAACUAUGGAGACCGUCCGCGUGCAUGGCACAAUUUGGUUAUAGAAAUGGCCAUUCUUGUCCGCAAAACGGGACAAUAGGACGCGUUCUAUAAUUGGUGGGACGGCCGCAGGGAUGCGGACGGCACGCGGAAGACGUCCGUGUGAGGUCUGCUUUCUUUCAGACCCCUAGAAAUGAAUGGGCCUGCAGGCGAUCUGCAAAAAAAAAAAAGAGUGGAUCAGAUGGAGGCCAGAAAUAUGGUCGUCUGCAUGAGGCCUGAAGCCGCUGAGGUCACCUCCUCCAUUGGGCACAUGAUGCCAUACUCUUCACAGCCAUUCUCCUGAACCAGAGGAUCAGUCUUGUGAGGGUCAAACAUUAUAUUAUUUGGCGUCACCAGGAGAACACCGCUGACUGUUCCCUAGGAGAUGGAG